AUGGUUAAACUGUGCCCAUGUGUUGAUGGUCAGACUCUGACAGAAUCUGAACCAGUGACUAAAAGGCCUGGAGAAUCUCACAGAUUGACCUGUACAGCCUCUGGAUUCACAUUAAAUAGCCACUACAUCGCCUGGGUCAGACAGGCUGAAGGAAAAGGACUGGAGUGGAUCGCUUCGAUCGUUGGUGGCAGCAUCUUCUACUCUGAGUCAGUGAAAGGCCGGUUCACCGGCUCCAGCAACAACAUACAGCAGGUGUAUCUGCAGAUGAGCAGUCUGACGGCUGUAGACUCUGCUGUUUAUUACUGUGCUCGAGACACACAGUGA